rnacentral:rRNA from 1 species
CCUACGGGCGGCACCAGUGGGGAAUAUUGGACAAUGGGCGAAAGCCUGAUCCAGCAAUGCCGCGUGUGUGAAGAAGGUCUUCGGAUUGUAAAGCACUUUCGACGGGGACGACGAUGAUGGUACCCGUAGAAGAAGCCCCGGCUAACUUCGUGCCAGCAGCCGCGGUAAUACGAAGGGGGCUAGCGUUGCUCGGGAUGACUGGGCGUAAAGGGCGCGUAGGCGGUUUAUGCAGUCAGAUGUGAAAUCCCCGGGCUUAACCUGGAACUGCAUUUGAGACGCAUAGACUAGAGGUCGAGAGAGGGUUGUGGAAUUCCCAGUGUAGAGGUGAAAUUCGUAGAUAUUGGGAAGAACACCGGUGGCGAAGGCGGCAGCCUGGCUCGAUACUGACGCUGAGGCGCGAAAGCGUGGGGAGCAAACAGGAUUAGAUACCCGCGUAGUC